rnacentral:rRNA from 1 species
AUAAUAAUUUGCCUCUUAAUUAGAGGCUGGAAUGAAGGAACAUACGAGAGUAAAACUGUUUCAUUUUUACCUAAUGAAAACUAACCUCUAGAUGAAGAGAUCUAGAUAACUAAGAAAGACAAAAAGACCCUAUUGAGCUUUACCCUACCAGAAUUCCCCCAAAGUGAAUCUAUUUAAUAAAUUCUGAGCGGGUUUUGUUGGGGCGACAGAAGAAGAACUAAAUCUUCUUUAUUUAAUGAGGUAAUAAACCUAAUAAUGAUCCGGAACCCCCGAUCAAAAGAUUCAGCUACCAUAGGGAUAACAGGCUAAUUCUUUCCGAGAGCCCAUAUUGACGAAAGAGAUUGGCACCUCGAUGUGGC